CUCGUAGGCGGCUCGUUGCGUCAACCGUGAAAACCCGGGGCUUAACUUCGGGCUUGCGGUUGAUACGGGCGGGCUGGAGUUCGGUAGGGGAGACUGGAAUUCCUGGUGUAGCGGUGAAAUGCGCAGAUAUCAGGAGGAACACCGGUGGCGAAGGCGGGUCUCUGGGCCGAUACUGACGCUGAGGAGCGAAAGCGUGGGGAGCGAACA
rnacentral:rRNA from 1 species